GAACUCUGAUGCAGCGAUGCCGCGUGAGUGAAGAAGGCCUUUGGGUUGUAAAGCUCUUUCGUCGGGGAAGAAAAUGACUGUACCCGAAUAAGAAGGUCCGGCUAACUUCGUGCCAGCAGCCGCGGUAAUACGAAGGGACCUAGCGUAGUUCGGAAUUACUGGGCUUAAAGAGUUCGUAGGUGGUUAAAAAAGUUGGUGGUGAAAUCCCAGAGCUUAACUCUGGAACUGCCAUCAAAACUUUUUAGCUAGAGUAUGAUAGAGGAAAGCAGAAUUUCUAGUGUAGAGGUGAAAUUCGUAGAUAUUAGAAAGAAUACCAAUUGCGAAGGCAGCUUUCUGGAUCAUUACUGACGCUGAGGAACGAAAGCAUGGGUAGCGAAGAGGAUUAGAUACCCUCGUAGUCCAUGCCGUAAACGAUGUGUGUUAGACGUUGGAAAUUUAUUUUCAGUGUCGCAGCGAAAGCAUUAAACACACCGCCUGGGGAGUACGACCGCAAGGUUAAAACUCAAAUGAAUUGACGGGGACCCGCACAAGUAGUGGAGCAUGUGGUUUAAUUCGAAGAUACGCGCAGAACCUUACCAACACUUGACAUGUUCGUCGCGACUCUAAGAGAUUAGAGUUUUCGGUUCGGCCGGACGAAACACAGGUGCUGCAUGGCUGUCGUCAGCUCGUGUCGUGAGAUGUUGGGUUAAGUCCCGCAACGAGCGCAACCCUCACUUUUAGUUGCCAUCAUUAAGUUGGGCACUCUGAAAGAACUGCCAGUGAUAAGCUGGAGGAAGGUGGGGAUGACGUCAAGUCCUCAUGGCCCUUACGUGUUGGGCUACACACGUGCUACAAUGGCAUUUACAAUAGGAAGCAAGAUGGCGACAUCAAGCAAAUCCUAAAAAGAUGCCUCAGUUCGGAUUGUACUCUGCAACUC
rnacentral:rRNA from 1 species